rnacentral:rRNA from 1 species
UACGGAGGGAGCUAGCGUUGUUCGGAAUGACUGGGCGUAAAGGGCGCGUAGGCGGUUUUUUAAGUGAGGCGUGAAAGCCCUGGGCUUAACCCAGGAGGUGCGUUUCAUACUGGAAGACUUGAGUGCGAGAGAGGAAAGUGGAAUUCCUAGUGUAGAGGUGAAAUUCGUAGAUAUUAGGAAGAACACCUGUGGCGAAGGCGGCUUUCUGGCUCGCAACUGACGCUGAGGCGCGAAAGCGUGGGGAGCAAAC